UACGUAAGGGGCAAGCGUUGUCCGGAAUCACUGGGCGUAAAGCGCACGUAGGCGGUUUAGCAAGUUGGGGGUAUAAGCUCUAGGCUUAACCUAGAAAUUGCCUCCAAAACUACUUCACUUGAGUAUUAGAGGGGAAGCUGGAAUUCACGGUGUAGCGGUGAAAUGCGUAGAUAUCGUGGAGAACACCUAUGGCGAAGGCAGCUUGCUGGGACGACACUGACGCUGAGACGCGAAAGCGUGGGGAGCAAACAGG
rnacentral:rRNA from 1 species